AACGAACGCUGGCGGCAGGCUUAACACAUGCAAGUCGAGCGCCCCGCAAGGGGAGCGGCAGACGGGUGAGUAACGCGUGGGAAUCUACCCAUCUCUACGGAAUAACGCAUGGAAACGUGUGCUAAUACCGUAUACGUCCUUCGGGAGAAAGAUUUAUCGGAGAAGGAUGAGCCCGCGUUGGAUUAGCUAGUUGGUGGGGUAAAGGCCUACCAAGGCGACGAUCCAUAGCUGGUCUGAGAGGAUGAUCAGCCACACUGGGACUGAGACACGGCCCAGACUCCGACGGGAGGCAGCAGGGGGGAAUAUUGGACAAUGGGCGCAAGCCUGAUCCAGCCAUGCCGCGUGAGUGAUGAAGGCCCUAGGGUUGUAAAGCUCUUUCACCGGUGAAGAUAAUGACGGUAACCGGAGAAGAAGCCCCGGCUAACUUCGUGCCAGCCGCCGCCGUAAGAC
rnacentral:rRNA from 1 species